AUGGCCAGGUGUACACCAGAGUGCACCCGUCUAAUGGCAGUAAAAAACAGGUACACUAGUGCAAUAUGGCCUUGUAGGGGUUAAAAAAAACACUCACCUCAUCAACUUGCACAUGCAGAGGUAGUCGCUUCUCUCUUGAUUCUGAAGGACCUGC